UGGUACUUGAGAUAACGUAAGGGAAAAAAAUGAUAUUACCUUACUAUAAGUGUUGUCCAAAUCACUGGUGCCAGAAGACUCGGUAACGCCAGAAACGCAAACGUUAGUCGUCCUAAUCAGGCGUAAAGGGUAAGUAGGCAGCUUUGAAAGUUAUUAAUUAUUAUGCUUUUGUCUUAAUUGAUAAAUAAUUUAAUAGUGAAUUAAAGCUAGAAUCAAAAAGAGGAUAAGCCAAAUAAUGUUUAGAGUAGGGAUGAAAUCUGCAGAUACUAAAUAGAAUACUUAAGGUGUAAACUUUUAUCCAAUAAUGAUUGACGCUGAGGAACGAAGGUGAGAAUAGAAAAUAGGAUUAGAGACCCAGAUAUCUCUCACUGUCAACGAUGAGUGGUAGUUGUUAGUCUUAUUAAAGGCUAGUAACGAUGUUAACGCGAUAACCACUCCGCCUUGCGAGUACG
rnacentral:rRNA from 1 species